rnacentral:rRNA from 1 species
CGCGUAGGCGGUUUGAUAAGUCAGAUGUGAAAGCCCACGGCUUAACCGUGGAAGUGCAUUUGAAACUGUCAGACUUGAGUACCAGAGGGGAAAGUGGAAUUCCCGGUGUAGAGGUGAAAUUCGUAGAUAUCGGGAGGAAUACCGGUGGCGAAGGCGACUUUCUGGCUGGAUACUGACGCUGAGGCGCGAAAGCGUGGGGAGCAAACAG